UAGCGUAUAUUAAAGUUGUUGCAGUUAAAACGCUCGUAGUCGGAUUUCGGGGCGGGCCUACCGGUUUGCCGAUGGGUAUAUACUGGUGGGUGCGUCCUUCCUUCCGGAGACCGCGCCUCCUCUUAACUGAGCGGGCGUGGGAGACGGAUCGUUUACUUUGAAAAAAUCAGAGUGUUUCAAGCAGGCAUGUCGCUCUUGCAUGGAUUAGCAUGGGAUAAUGAAAUAGGACUUUGGUGCUAUUUUGUUGGUUUCGAACACCGAAGUAAUGAUUAACAGGGACAGUCAGGGGCACUCGUAUUCCGCAGAGAGAGGUGAAAUUCUCAGACCCGCGGAAGACGAACCACUGCGAAAGCAUUUG
rnacentral:rRNA from 1 species